rnacentral:rRNA from 1 species
UACGUAGGGUCCGAGCGUUGUCCGGAAUUAUUGGGCGUAAAGGGCUCGUAGGCGGUCUGUUGCGUCGGGAGUGAAAACUUACAGCUUAACUGUGAGCGUGCUUCCGAUACGGGCAGACUUGAGGUAUUCAGGGGAGAACGGAAUUCCUGGUGUAGCGGUGAAAUGCGCAGAUAUCAGGAGGAACACCGGUGGCGAAGGCGGGACUCUGGGCCGAUACUGACGCUGAGGAGCGAAAGCGUGGGGAGCAAACAGG